GUGCCUGAGCCCCCAACCGGGUGGUCGAGGUGAGCGGGGGAAGAUGGCGGAGUGAGAGGAGGAGGCUGAGGGGAGAGGGCCGGCCGCGGCCCGGCGGCCUCGGCCAGGGGCAGGUAAACGGAGCGGGGAACGACUGCUUGAGGAGCGAGACUGAGCCUGGCUAGCGGCGGGACCUCACCGCUCCCUGCUUGGGCUGGGCCCGGUCAGGUUCACUUGUAUUCCAUUUUGAGUGCAAAUCAGCAAACUGAAAAGGAAGGGCUCUUGGUGGAAAAUGAUGGCAUAUGUGGCCAUGAAGUUAAGGGCCUGUUCCUGGCAUCCCAGAAGAAGUUACUCUGUUCCUUUUGCUUAGAAACUGAUCAUAGACAGUGAAUGGUGGAUGCUCCACUACUGGUGAAGAAAAGUCUUUUCCUUAUCUCCAUGGCGUGUAAUGAGGAAAUAUUCUUCUCUUUAUGUUUCAACUUCUUAAACCAACAUUUGAAGUAUGGAGCCUGCACCAGCUGGCUUCCCCCAUAGGAGCACACAGCAAGCAUUUUACCAACCCUUACAAGCGAGCAACUGAAAUCAAUGUUUGAUAUGUCCCUGAAGUGAUGUCUUCAGAGUUUUUGAGCUCUGUUUUUGCACCCUAGAGAAGAUUUUUACAAGCAUGCUCACACAGAAACCAGUCUCCUUUCUGUAUCUUAGCAGGGUAACUUCUUCUCCAACUGUGUCCAAGUAAAUGGAUAAUGCAUCUGCAUGUGAUGCUGUGCCAAGCUAUUUCAACAUGUGUGAAAGGUUGCAGCAAGAAUACAUUUCCACCCUGAAACGAGGAACAAACUUAAAAAAAAAAAAAAAACCCACAAUCCUGAAAAAUCCCCAUAACGAAGAUGUCCUAAUCCAGAACAAAGAACUGACUUUGUAGAUAAAUGUCUCAAUGUCACCUCGUGAAGCAGCUAAUGCACAAAAACAAAUACAGAAUUACCUUGUCCAUCAUGGAUGAAUGAAUCAUCACAUUCUGUGAUCAAAAGCAUUUGCAUGUGUAAAUCCACAUAACUAGUGAAUGUGAAGAGCUUUCACCAGGAAAAGAAGUUGCUCUGCACUGUCUCUUUUUGUAGCAAACCCCUUCCCUAAGAAGGUGAAUCUUUGAGAACCUCCUAGUGCUAAAGUUAAUCCUAUAGUGUUGGGUUUACAUUGUAUCUCCAGUCUUCUCCAGCAGCUUUAGCAGCAAAAGGAACAAAAAAACUCUGUGAUCCAAGAGAUGGGACAGAACUUCAUCUUUUUAAUAAAGGAACUGGCCUCUGGUGGGAUGGGAGAGGCUACAAGUAUAAUGUUCCAACUCAUCCCCUCAGCGUCCUGAGUGCAGUUUAUAACUUCAUACUGCUGAUGGAGUUGGUUUUUAACUCUCCUUUGGCUACUGGAGAACUGGGAUGAGUACUCUUCCAGGGUGUAGAUGGGAGGUCUGAUAGAGAAACCAGUUCAGAGAGAGCAGAAAUGCUGAAGGAAGUAUGCUCUUUUUCUGGCUCCCCCUGUAUCUCCAUCCCAAACUAAGGAGGAGAUCAUGGUUCUUACGUGUUUACACCAGAUUCUUUGUCUCCAUCACUUGUGACUUAUACGGGAUGUUUUCCUUCCGUUUUAGAUGGAAGCUUUAUGUUUAGUUGCUCCCUGCAGUGGUAGUCUGUAUGGUCAAUGAGGUUUCUUGGUGGAAAGGCCAUAAUUGGUUUGUGUUUUCUUCCACUUGAACCUGGACCUCUUCAUAGUGCACCUUAUUCCAAGCUUGUGUUAAUGUGAAUUUAGCAAAUGUGAUUUGCUGAUUUAAAAUAAUACAAUUUCAAAUCUGGAUCAAAAAAGGGGUAUAGGCUCUGUUUAAAUUAUUUUUUGUUUUCUUUUAGAAAACCACUGGAGAGAGCCAGGCAGCCUAAAAAUGGCUUUAAAAAAAAAAAAAAAAAAAAAAAACCCACGAAAUUCUACUUAGCUCCUGGUGACAAGUAGCAAGAGCAACAUUUUAAGACUGGUAGAGAAGGGAAGGGGUUAUAUAAGGAUGGGGAAGAGAGAAUCUCUAAAGAAACUUUUUCUUAUAUCUGUGUAAUCUAUCGUAGUGGAAGUUGAAGGAGAACAAAUUCUGGAGUUGAACAAACCCAUGCACUGGCUUUGGUCCCGCUCUUCCCUCCUGGGAAUAAAGUUGUGAAGAGCCACAGUGAACUUGUGAUGUGACAAUAAGGUUUAAUUACAUCUUUUCCUGUUUUGUGCUCUCUUGGAGAGAAAAUCAGUCUCAUUGGGUAGGGAAUGUUGAGCUGUACAUUUUGUGCUGAAAAUAACACAAGAUAUAAUGGCAUCAGAAUAUAAAAAGCACCAAUACAGCACAGUCAGCUGUGUUUAUCUGUUCACUUGGAGAAAUGAUUAUAUUCGUCAUGGGUAGGCAGUUGGGCUGAUUUCCUUUCAAUAUAGUGCAGUCCCUUGCCAAACAGAAUUCGGAUUUUUGAGUGUUAAAGACAACUGGAAAAAUAUGUUCCCUUUUAGGGCCUCUUACUGAAGUCAAUGUGAUUUUUGAAUUUAUUUAAGUAGAGGCAGGCUCAGACCGUUAGUGAGGAAAAUAUCUGCUGUCAAUGUCACAGGUUUAAAUGUGAUUAGAAGGCAUCCAUUAUGGCAAAUAUGUCGUCUUAAGCCUGGUGAUUCUUCUUUUCACCUUCCUGACCCCUAUUUGUCCUCCUUCUGACUUAACCACUUGCAGCUGUUUCUAGCACAGCUUGAUAGAAAAUUUGAUAUUGUUUUCCAUAUAUUGUAAAAGGCAGAGAAUGGAUUCUGGAGAAGGUGGAUACACUUUAGCCCACUUUGCCACAUGAUAGGAAUAAUUGUCUCCAAGCUCUGCCUGAUAACAAGAAAUGGAAACAAAUGUUGACUUUCCCUGCCUGCCCCCUAACAUGUAACCACUUGAUUAAAUUUUAAGAUAAAAUUAUAAUAGGGCUAAUGUUCUGUGGCUGUCACAGGAUGCAGUUGUGCAUGCCCAAAAGACCCCACUGCAGUAUGCUUCCUGCCAGCUUCUUUAUGAAACUGCUGUGCCAGGCAAUACUGCCUCAGCCUUUAGACUUUACUCUUUGCUCCGCUUCUGUUUCUCCAUGUUGGUUGGAAAUCUUCCCGUAUGAAAGGUUAAACAAAUAAAUAAGGGGCAUGUGCAAUAGAUAUAUAUAUAUACAUAUAUAUAUUUUAAUACUUGUGGACAAAAUGAUGUUACAAGUUGUUUGAAAACAACAAAAUCACCAAUGUCUUCCAUUUUGAGAUGUGUAUAGUUCCAUAAGCAUUAGUGCUUCGUAGCAAACUGUAGUGCCAUGUUAGGAUCAGUGCAUGAGCCUAGUAGUAUUUUUACAAUUUCAGAGUGGCAAAUUAUUAAUGACAAUAAUAAACAAUAAUGUAACUAACAGUAGAAAGCAGACAGUAACAGAUGUUAUGAACGUGGUCUAAAGAUGCAGUAUCCUUCUUAGGCAGUCGUAGUGACAAGGUUAUCUUUGGAACCAGAAUUUAUUAAAUUGAUGGGCUUUGUGGAAUAAUAGCUGACUUUUUUGUAUUGUUUUUGGUAAAGUCUGUCUAGGCUAAACAGUAGACUGUGAGCAUCCAGACUAAUCCUCUCUUCGUCCAUAUAAGGUGAACUGCAAGACAAAUCCAGGACACACACCAAAUUGACAGUGGCAUUUGUUUCCUUUUAGUGUUAAUGAAACACCCUAAACUGUUCUUGCAGAUUCUAUCUUCAUGUAGACUGUUUCAUUACUACCCAUCCCUUCCAUCAUACAGAAGCUGAUGAAGAGCCACUGUACGUGUUUUAUAGGCAACUCUGCUGCCUUCUCAUAUGGGUAUAAUUAAUGAGCUCUGUUAACUAUUGAGCAGAGUAACAUUUUGCAGAAAUAACUCUGUUUAAAAAAUAUGAUACUAAUGUUAAUCUUAAUUAGUAAGACUAGUUAAAUCAUUACAUUCAAAUUGCUGUCUAAGUUUUUUGUCAGUUUUGUACACUUAGAAUCCUAAAUUAUAGAUUGACCCUUCCAAUACUUUUCCCAGCUAUCUGAUUUCUUUUUUAACUGCGUGGCAAUUUUCUCUCUUUCUCUCUCCUCCCUCCUCCCUCCUCUCCCCCCCCCCCCCCCCCCCCCCCCACACACACACACACACACACACAACGCCUCUCCCUCUACUUUCUGAGAAUGGAAAGCUGAGCUAGGUGAAAUCCAAAUGGUUUAUCACUAAGGAUAAGUUUUUUGUCGUGGAAGUCAUAGAUUCUGUGACUUUCAGAGACCUCUGUGACAUUUUCCCUUCAGCUUCAGCCCUGUGCCUGGGGUGGUGGGUCCAGAGCUGUCAGCUGGCGGGGGCUCUGAGCCGCUGCGGGUGCAGGGGCCCCACUGCCGUCAGCCACUGCAGGCGGUGGGGGUCCCGUAUCUCUGAGCCACUGGCCUUGGAGCUCUGAGCCAUUGAGAGCAGAGGGGACCUGUAGCUGUCAGCUGCUGUGGACAGUGGGGACCCCAGAGCUCUCAGUCACUGGCACUGGAGCCAUCAGCAGCUGCAGGGGCCUUGAAGCUGUCAACCGCAGUGGGUGCUGGAGCUCCCCCCUCCUCCAACUGCAGGGCUUGGGCUUCAGUCGUCUCCUGGUCAGUUCCCCCAUCCCCAUUAUUUCAGUAAAAGUCAGAGACAGAUCAUGGGCUUCCCUGAAUUUUUUUUUAUUGCCCGUGACCUGUCCCUGACUUUUACUAAAAAUAACUGUGACAAAAUCUUAACUUUAUUUAUCACUUUCUCAAACAGGCAGUUUAGGCUACUGAAGCAAGAGAUGGAAAUGACUCCCAACCCAGGUUUGCAACAAUCUGUGUAUCAUAUCUAUCCGAUUUCCUGGAAUAGCUUUUUAAUUUCUGUCACUAUUGUUUUUCACCCACCUCUGUUUUAAAAAUAACAGGCUGCUGUCAGCUAAGAGAGGAUACUGCAUCUUUUCUUGAGACCUGCCUGUAAAUGGCCACCUGGGAAAAAUGGGUAGCUUGGGUUUCUGAGUUGAUCUAGAUUAAUUAAAUGGGCAAAAUGUAUUGAGAUACAAAACCAGUGAUUCUUGCAGAGUUAAUUAUGUAAUAAAAAACAGAGUCUCUGCAUAUUCCGUCUCUCCAUGUAUAUUGGGCAGGUGGGCUGUUUACAGUAGAGCUCUGGGGAACUGUGCUCAAAGCUAGUUCAGUUCUGAACAAAAGUAGCUAUACCAUUGAAUCAAGUAGUUUAGUGCUUGGGGGAAUCAAUUGAUAAAAAAUACCUCUGAAACUGGAAUGCAAAAUAGCACAGUAUGUAGGGGGAAAUAUCCCUGAUGCAAACAAAGCCAUAAAAAGAUUUAAUAAAACUAGAAUUUUAGUAGCAAUAACUGUUUUGCAUGUAAUAGUAACUAACUUGCAUUACCAAGAUUGUACAGUAGAAUAAGUGGUAAUAACCAAAUAAGUUUGUGGUCUGUGCUGCAGGGAGUUGCAUGAAGAGAACAGUGUCUCUUUUUAAGAAGAUGGAAGAAUUCCUUUUACUGUUCCCCUCUUUUGAGGGAAUAUGGCGCUUGAAUACCAUGGUGAUGAGCCAGUGAUGAGUAUAAAACCUGGGUAACUAUAGGUCAUGCGUCAGAAUUGGUGCAUAUAGGGGAAGACUGGGCAGUUGUGUAUGAGUGACUGGUUUCCCUGUUGUUUGUUUUGUAGUGUAGCAUGUGCAGUGCCUCUGAGAGGAAAGUGCUGAGAUAUGAAGAAGACCCAUUUCCCACAGUUGGAAAGCUUUUAUUCAAACUUUUAUUGGAGAGAGGAGUUUUUGUUUUUUGUAAAAAGAAACUAAGUAGAGCUGUGACAGGUCCUGAAAAGAAAGUAUUGCAAAAUGUUGACAACCCAAAUGUUUCUUCUGCAGGGACAGAAUUGCAGGAUUUAUUUAUUUCAAAAGACUAUCCUACUUCCUCUUUUAAAAUUUUAAGUACAAACUGGCCAUAUGCUUCCAUUUAAGAUUAAAACUGUUUUCUGUUCACCCUUUGAGUUUUGCAAAGCCAAUUGCAGUAGAUUCUCUGGUAAGGCAGAGGAGAAUUGAUCUGCUGCUGCGGUAUUUGUCCCUGGCAACUAUUGGAGGGGCACUCAAAAGAGCCCAUGGAGUUUUAAAAUAUAACCCACAGCUGACCUUGUCUUCAGUACAGAAGUGUAGCCUGCAGAGAAUAUACAGCUCAGCAUGCCAUGUUCUGUCCUGAAUUGAAUUAUUAAACCAAAGUGUGUAUUGAUCCAUGUGGUGGCUUAAUCUCUUUGAUCAGGAUGGGAUAUUGCAUGCUACCAUCUGUAGUGUCUGAGAGUGGCUGAACUUUGCUUCAUUAUUUAGUAAACUUGGUGGGGCCAUUUGUCCCCUGGCAAGUUGAUAACAUGACCCUCUGUUGAGGCAAAAUGUGGGCACCACUAAUAUAAUGUAACCAAGAUGGAUGUAUGGAUAAGUCGUUAAAUGUUGGCAAGUAGGGCAUAUCCAAUAGUAGUCUUGGACAUGAAAACCUGUGAUCUAAAAGAUGGUGAUUUGAAAUAAAUUCCAGCCAUUAAAUUAUUAUUAAAAGAGGAAACAUACCCAGAGAAGACCUUAACUUGAUCAUGUCCUAGACAUACUAGAUGGUAUUAGACCAGCCUUAUACAAUUACGAAAGUCUAAUUGCCAGUCUUUUACCAUGAUAAUGAAAACACUAUCUUGCUCAUAUUUCCAGAAUAUGUACUUUCCUAGCUGAGUAGAGUUUUGCAAGACUGUGUUACACAGUUACAAUGAAAACUUGAAGGCUAUCGGCUUGUUGCUGCCAGUGCAGACUUUCUGGUGUACUAUUCUCCAGGGGUGACUAAAUUUCCAAAGACUGCUCACAGCAGCAAUGUCAGAGAUCCUGCUGCCCUAAGGCCACUGAGCUGUGGUAUGGUUUCUUCCCCUGCCCAAGCCCUUGAUUUCCUUGCUUGCAAAACAAAGCAGAAAGUUCAGAUAAUGUGGUGGUUGUCAAGUAGUGCCAUGCUAAUACUAGGUCUAAGCAGUGCUAAGUCUAGAUCAGAAGUGUGGACUGUGCAGGAACCUGUGGUCUGCUUUCUUGCUCAUUGGUGCUGCUGGAGAAGUUCUAGCCAGUACCUAUGCUGUGAAUUGCAGCUCCUGCUUGAUACAGCUGGCUGUUAAAGACCUUCACAGCACUAAGAAAUCCAUGUGGCAAGUUUUUGGGAAUAGAGAGCUGUGGCAAGCUUCAGGACAACGAUAUUUUAAACAGGACUUCACUACCAGCUCUGCUGUCAAGGUUAUUUUCAGGGUUUUAUGGAAUUACCUCUCCGUAAUAAUGGGAGAACAGAACCUUUUCUGGGGAAGUUUGUCAGUGCUCUUAGAGACCCCUUUUUCCCCUGCAUUGCAGUGACCAUCCUUUCAGCUGUGAAUGGAGUCUAGCUGAGACUUCCUCCCAAGUCCAUUCGUACAGCUUUUUACUUGAGCCAGAGGGCUAUAUGUUGGGCAGUUCAAGGUGUAGCCUUUCCUCCCAAAGGUUCAGCAUGUUGCGUCCACAGUAUGGCCAGGUUAAGGCACCAAGGGCCAACAGUGGUACCUGGGUGUCUCACAUAGUGCAGAAUGCUACCUAUGGACACCCCCCCACACACACGUUUUCCUUCAGUCUGCUUUGCACUUUUUCCUGAAGUUUGACUUCAGAAUAAUGUGUAUACAUACACAGCAUAAAUAAAGGAUAUGUCUGGCACUAAACCUAAGUACCAAGCAGUCACAGUAUACCCAAAUUCUCUAAGGUUUACCUUUUAUCUUUACUGUCAGAUGUUCUAACUUGCUGUAGCAUAUGUCCUGUGUAAAUUCUGUUUUCUCUCAAACUGAAUGUGUGUUUGCAGGGCAACUAAGAGAAUGUUCAUUUUGAAGCCCUAGGCACAAAGAACUGCAUGGACAAAAUGAGGAAGAGUGGCACAGGCCCACAAAUCAAGUCUUAUAGAGCUAGUAUUCUAAUUAUGCAUGAUUCAAAAUGUCUAGUGUUACAUAGUUAUUACCAGUAAAUUCAGAUAUGCAUUUAUUCAUAAUGAAGCAAUAGGAACUAAUAUACCAAUAGCUUGAACUUACUGCUUUGAUUCUCAAAUGUUGUUUUUAGAGAAUGCACUGCCUCUGUAGAGAAAGGGGCAGAUUAUACAGAUAGGGACAGAAGCAUGGCACCAAAACUGCAUAUCAGGAACGAGGAUCAGAACUCGCCUUUUUAACCUCUUGCCUGGUUCACAUUAGUGCCCUGAGCAUGUAAAAAACAGGGCAUGAACUAAGCAUGUUUAGUGGCGAGAUGAGGUUUCUCAGCUGCUGCAAUUGUAGCAAACAGAAAGGUGCAGAGUUUCCCAGGGUGUGGGGAGGGCAACAGGUGAAAUCCAAGUUGGAUAACAUAAAAACUGACUCAUAGUAAACUGAGUGUAGGAUUUGCCUGACAAUAGGUGAAAGUGGUCUUGACCUAGGGAGGUAAAUUCUUUGGAGGGGGUUGAAAUCAAUAAGCACAGUCCACAUAUUUCAGGUGUUGAAUAGCUUUUUAAUAGUAUUUUCAGGUAACUCUUUAGCCUCAUAGGCUGCUGUACUGAAGCAUACUGGUAUGAACCAGCAGUAAUGGCACCCUGUAAGAAUGAACCUGAAAUUUUUGACAAACUUGUGUGUUUAUUUUGUUGAGCUCUGUGACUAAAAUUUUUUAAAAAGUUACAAAAUGAGAUUUGCUCAAUGGGUGUCCUGAGCUCUAGCAACAUAGUGACAAUAUGUUUUGUUCUUAAUUUCACUGAUUAAAAAGAGUGAUUGACAUGAGAGAACUAACGGAAAUCAGGUGCCAUCUAUUUGUUUGCAAACCUUUACUAUGUUUUCUGUAAAGAAUAUUUCUCGAGCCAUUUUGUGGGUGUUUGGGGAAAAUUUCUGCUGAGAAUGUACAAAAAAAAAGUUAUGGUAUCUGUAGCAGAGCACAAGAACUAAUGCUACUUUUCCUAGACUGAAGCAUGUAAACUCAUAGAAACUCUCAGACUGAGACAAGUAGUUUGCGAGAUUCCUUACUUCUAUCUUAUUAUGGCUACAUCUAACUUUGCAGGAGGACCUAGUUUAUAUGAAAAUUCCUGUCAGAAAUUCCCUCCUGUUUCUUUGAAGAAACAAAAUGGGACAAGAGGAAGGGUUUAUGGGUCAAGUUAACACCUGUCUACAUUCUUAGCCAGUGUAAUACAAGCACACCCACACUGCAGGCUUGGUGUGGGGGCCAUAUAUUUUUUUCUCAUUGUUCUUUCUUUAGAUAUACAGUAGUUGCCAAAUGCAAAAGGGAAUAUUAAGGUUUAAUCUGUGAUGACUGUAUUUUAUAGUAUCAGAGUAUGUUUGAAAUUUUUCCUCUGGGCCAACUUCUGUAGGCAAAAAGGAAUGGUUAAAACAUGUUUAACCCUACUGGACAUCCUUCAGGACUACUCUUCAGUUUAAAAUCCUGCAUUAGUAUCCUCCCCCCCCCCCACCACAAAUAAGGACUGGUCUGCACUUAAAAUUCAGGUCAACAUAGUAAGGACACUCAGGGUGUGAAAAAUCUACACCCCUGAAUGUUGCAGCUAUGCUGACAUAAACCCCCUAUGGCUCGGUAGACAGAAGAGUGACAGUAGCUAGGUUAAGAAUUCAAGUUGGUGGAAUUACUACAGUGACAGAAAAAAACUCUUCCAUUGUUGUAAUGUACAUUACAGUUGUGCCACUGUAGUAUUUGUAGUGUAGACAUUGCCUGAGGGGUAAGCAGUUAGUUAUUUACAAACACACACUUAUUUCCCUUCUAAACAAAAAGGAAAUAAAACUUUCUUGUAAAUAAUCUCUGUGAGGAGCAUGGUGAAAGAGCAGAGGAGAAAUGUUGAAGGUGGUCUUCAGCUCCAACAUUGAUGCCUUUUAAAAAAAAAAAAAUAAAUAAAAAAUGUUUUUGUCCUUAAAGUUUGGAAACUAGGUUAGAGAAUACUGAACGUCUAAUAGUAUGAUCACAUUUUUAUUGUACUCAAUAGAUCAUGCACAGGAAAGAUUAGUGAAGGAAUUUAGUGGCAACACUGGAACCUAUUUACUCCAUUGCAUAGUGUGUUUUAUGUGGUUAUACUGAAAAUUUCUCCCUGUAUAUAGCUGAAGUUUUCCAAAAGGCAGCUUGCUUUUAUAUCUAUGCAUCUUUGGGGAUUUGAAGAAAAGACUUUAUUCUUUUGACACUGUAAAGAGGAACUGUUUAAAAAUGAACUUGGAAACUCUGCACCUGUAUACAAUUUUUUUAGCAAUAAAGCAGCACGGGCUGAGAAUGCA